GACAGAGAGAACGAAGGAAAGAAAAUGAAAAUGGAGAUUUUGAUUAAAAUUCUUCCAAAAUUCAUAACUUGAGCUAGAGACCUCCAAAUCACUCCGUUCCAAAGCCAAACCUGUGAGAAAUUUCGAGAGGAAUCUAUUGGUACCAGUAUUUCUGAGUGGGGUUCACUGUAGAGAGAGAUCUUCUCCCCCAAAGAAUUCGAAUUUCAUGGAAAAUAUGGGUUUUGAUGGAGCUUGAAGCCAUGGGAGCUUGAAGCAAGCUUCUCCCUUCAUUCUAGGUGUACCUAGGGACUGUGAACGUUUGGAUUCUCGUGGAGUAUGAUAAGUAGCUUGUUCUUCAAGUAAGCAGAUUGUAAAGCUCAAAGAGGAACACAGUUAAUUGAAGAGCCUCAUGGGACAAGGACACUAACCGUGGCUAGAGGUACUAGUAUGAGGAUGUGGAGUUCUGGGUGGUCGGAUGCUACUAUUUGUUUUAGACGUAUUUUUGGAAAAGAUGUAUUGUUGCAUAGUGUUCAUAUUCGAUACAUGUACAUUUAUGUAUUCAGGCAUGAUGAUAUGACUAUGUAGUAUUCAGUUAUGUUAUGUAUUGGAUUGCAUGCUAUUAGAUUUGUGGCACAGAGCCAAGU